CCCGUCCGAUCAGCCAUGAUAAUCAUCUAAUCGCUACACUAGUACUCAAGUUGGUGACAAUUGGGGAAUCCGUAGUGUUGUAUGUU
rnacentral:rRNA from 1 species